rnacentral:rRNA from 1 species
UUUUUGGCCCAGAUCGUUUACCGUGAAAAAAUUAGAGUGUUCAAAGCAGGCAGAUCCAAUUUUCUGCCACCGAAUACAUUAGCAUGGGAUAAUGGAAUAGGACCCUGUCCUCCUAUUUUCAGUUGGUUUUGGCAGCGCGAGGACUAGGGUAAUGAUUAAUAGGGAUAGUUGGGGGCAUUAAUAUUUAAUUGUCAGAGGUGAAAUUCUUGGAUUUAUGAAAGAUUAACUUCUGCGAAAGCAUCUGCCAAGGAUGUUUUCAUUAAUCAAGAACGAAAGUUAGGGGAUCGAAGACGAUCAGAUACCGUCGUAGUCUUAACCAUAACGAUGCCGACCAGCGAUUAGGAGACGUUSAAUACUUUUUCCCACCAUCGGUGCGGUCGUCCUUGGCGUUGGUCUUCAAAAGCCAGCGCGGGGGUGGCCUUWGCCCC